AGCGAACGCUGGCGGCAGGCCUAACACAUGCAAGUCGAACGGACCCUUCGGGGUUAGUGGCGGACGGGUGAGUAACACGUGGGAACGUGCCUUUAGGUUCGGAAUAGCUCCUGGAAACGGGUGGUAAUGCCGAAUGUGCCCUUCGGGGGAAAGAUUUAUCGCCUUUAGAGCGGCCCGCGUCUGAUUAGCUAGUUGGUGGGGUAAAUGGCCCACCAAGGCUACGAUCAGUAGCUGGUCUGAGAGGAUGACCAGCCACAUUGGGACUGAGACACGGCCCAAACUCCUACGGGAGGCAGCAGUGGGGAAUCUUGCGCAAUGGGCGAAAGCCUGACGCAGCCAUGCCGCGUGUAUGAUGAAGGUCUUAGGAUUGUAAAAUACUUUCACCGGUGAAGAUAAUGACUGUAGCCGGAGAAGAAGCCCCGGCUAACUUCGUGCCAGCAGCCGCGGUAAU
rnacentral:rRNA from 1 species